rnacentral:rRNA from 1 species
UACGAAGGGGGCUAGCGUUGCUCGGAAUCACUGGGCGUAAAGCGCACGUAGGCGGGUCUUUAAGCCAGGGGUGAAAUCCUGGAGCUCAACUCCAGAACUGCCUUUGAUACUGAGGAUCUCGAGUCCGGGAGAGGUGAGUGGAACUCCGAGUGUAGAGGUGAAAUUCGUAGAUAUUCGGAAGAACACCAGUGGCGAAGGCGGCUCACUGGCCCGGUACUGACGCUGAUGUGCGAAAGCGUGGGGAGCAAACAGG